rnacentral:tRNA from 1 species
GCGAAUGUAGUUCAAUGGUAGAACAUCAGCUUCCCAAGCUGAAUACGCGGGUUCGAUUCCCGUCAUUCGCUCCA